UGUUUAAGUAAUGCGGGGCUUAAACUCAUGACCCCAAGAUCAAGAGUCGCAUGCCCUUCCAGCUGAGCCAGCCAGGUGCCCCCUAAUCUUUUCUUCUAAGAGCGUUUACGAUGCCUACUAACGAAUGGUAGGAUGGAAGGGGAGUAGAGUACUAGAGAAGAAUUCCUGGGUCACGGAGUAAAAACUGGAUGAGUUCUCUGAGGAGCAGGACAGCAGUGUGCUAAGAACAAGGGACUACGGGGGCACUACGGGAUCUACUUCUCAACCCCACCGUCUGAUCUCUUCUUCCUACUUCACCUUCCUCCAGCCCCUCUGGCUUCCUUGCUGUCUCCAGAUCACACCAGUCAUGCUUACAAUGAUCUGAUCGCAGAUGCCAACACGCUUCACUCCCCUGCCUCCUUCAGAGUUCUACCCAAAUGCGACUUCAUCACAUGGGCUUUCCUCUGAGUCCUACGUAAAAGGCUCCGCCACUCACCACACAUCAAUCUUCAUCCCUCUGCUUUAUUUUGCAUCACUACCACACGGCAUAUUUAUUGUUGAUUUUCUGUCCAUUAAAAUGGAAGCUCUAUGAGAGCAGAAAGUUUGUCUUGUUUAUUGCUUCAUCCCCAGAAGCUACAGUGUUUGGAUGUAAAUAAGUGAAUAGAUUGGGCCGGGAGCAGAGUAACUGGGUUCCAAUCCUUUCUCACUGUGAUAACAUGGACACGUCUGUCAAUCAUUCUUGCAUUUCAGUUUUCUCAUUCGCAAGUAAGGGAUGAUUACUUUUCUCUCGGCCUAGAUGAGAGGAUUAAUGGAAGAAGGGGCGACUAUUGUUUAUAAGCAUCUUCUACUGGGCAUGCAUUGCUGCAAUUGAUUCGCAUAUAUUGUUUUUAAACCCCAGGUCAGCCUGAUAAAAUGGAUAUUAGUGUUCCCAUUUUACAGAUUAAGAAACUGAGACUCAAAAAGUUAGUGGCUUGUGAAAUCCAAAGUGAAGGAAGUAUGUGAAAUAAAUAUUAGAAGUAUGACACUGCAAUAAAAAAUGUGAAGUAUCUUGGUAAUUUUUAUAUUGGUUAUAUAUUGGAAUAAUAUUUUGAAUAUUUAAAAAAUAAAAUCUGUUAUUAAAGUUAAU